rnacentral:misc_RNA from 1 species
AGGUUGCCAAGGGAAGGUGGAAUUUUUCCACUCAGAUUGUUUAUACUGAUCUGAAGCACUUGAAGCAUUGCCAAAGAACCAAGCUCUGCAGGUAUUUUCCCACUUAGCUUAUUCACUACCAGGUUGAUUAUCCUGAGAUGGGAACAGUGGGUCAAGUUGAUUGGAAUUUCUCCUUCUAGUGUGUUGUUGUUGAGAUAGAACCUUUGCAACCGAAACAAAUUACCAACUUCUUGUGGAAUUUGACCAUUGAAACUAUUGUUUCGGAGGUUUAGGACUCUUAAAAAACUCAAAUUGCCAAUAUAUGGUGAUAUGGAUCCAAUCAAAUUGUGGCCUUCUAACACCAUUGAAGUGACUCUCUGGUGGCGGCGACUGCAAGUGAUUCCAUACCAUUGGCAAAAAGAGAGAGAAUGAUUCCAUGAAUUGAAGAUUCCAUGUGGAUCACGGGCUAUCCCAGCUUUGAAACUUAGCAAAGCAAGCUGAUCAGUCUCAUUUUGUGAAGAGUGAGCUUGUAUUAAUUGCAAGUUUAAAAAGAGGAAAUUGACCAGUUGAAGAAAAACAAGAAAAAGGUGAAGCAAACAAGAAUCAUAAAUCUUCAUUUGGUUUG